ACGAUCCUUCGGGGCAGGGUGAAAUUCCCUACCGGCGGUGAUGGACGUGGUGAAGAAGCGUAAAGCCUAUGCAAAAGCUUAUCACUGCGGACUUAGUCCGUGACCCGGAUAUACGUAAGUAUAUGCGGUGGACCUGGUGCAAAUCCGGGACCGACAGUAUAGUCUGGAUGGGAGAAGGAGAGA
rnacentral:ncRNA from 2 species